rnacentral:rRNA from 1 species
AUUGAACGCUGGCGGCAUGCCUUACACAUGCAAGUCGAACGGCAGCGGACCUUCGGGUGCCGGCGAGUGGCGAACGGGUGAGUAAUAUAUCGGAACGUACCUUUCAGUGGGGGAUAACGUAGCGAAAGUUACGCUAAUACCGCAUAUUCUGUGAGCAGGAAAGCAGGGGAUCGCAAGACCUUGCGCUGAUUGAGCGGCCGAUAUCAGAUUAGCUAGUUGGUGAGGUAAAGGCUCACCAAGGCGACGAUCUGUAGCGGGUCUGAGAGGAUGAUCCGCCACACUGGAACUGAGACACGGUCCAGACUCCUACGGGAGGCAGCAGUGGGGAAUUUUGGACAAUGGGCGCAAGCCUGAUCCAGCCAUGCCGCGUGAGUGAAGAAGGCCUGGUGUAAG